rnacentral:rRNA from 1 species
GAGUAAUGCGUGACCAACCUGCCCCAUGCUCCAGAAUAGCUCUUGGAAACGGGUGGUAAUGCUGGAUGCUCCAACUUGACGCAUGUCUUGUUGGGAAAGUGUUUAGUGGCAUGGGAUGGGGUCGCGUCCUAUCAGCUUGUAGGCGGGGUAAUGGCCCACCUAGGCUUCGACGGGUAGCCGGCCUGAGAGGGCGGACGGCCACAUUGGGACUGAGAUACGGCCCAGACUCCUACGGGAGGCAGCAGCA